rnacentral:sRNA from 1 species
UGUGAUGCCUGUAAAUGUGGUGUUUCUCCUAGCUGUGAACUGUGUCCUAAUCAGGAUGGAAUUUUCAAGGAGACAGAUGCUGGAAGGAGACUACCAUCUAGGGUUGGUGACUAAAAUUAAGAGUAAUUUUCAACCUUUUGUAUUUCGUGGAGAUCAUGCUCUGCCUCUUCCUCUCCAAUAUAAGGAGGGGGGGGGUACUUAAAUUUUUAUUUUGUCACAUAAGGAUGUUUUAGUAUUUUAUUAAACAUGCUUUAUAUUAAAAACAAGAUUAACAGCAAAGCAACCUAUAUAAAUUGUCACCAUCAUUUCCUGUAUUUUAACAUAAAAAAACUAGGGUACAUUAUGUCCUAAAAUAAAGGAUAGGCUUUUAAAUUUAAUAAAUUUUACUUUAGUAAAGUAA